UGACAUCACGUUGAUGGCCAUGCUACCC
rnacentral:piRNA from 1 species